rnacentral:rRNA from 1 species
AUUGAACGCUGGCGGCAGGCCUAACACAUGCAAGUCGAACGAGUGGCGGACGGGUGAGUAAUGUCUGGGAAACUGCCUGAUGGAGGGGGAUAACUACUGGAAACGGUAGCUAAUACCGCAUACCAUCGGAUGUGCCCAGAUGGGAUUAGCUAGUGGGUGGGGUAAAGGCUAACCUAGGCGACGAUCCCUAGCUGGUCUGAGAGGAUGACCGGCCACACGGGAACGGAGAAACGGUCCAGACUCCUACGGGAGGCAGCAUUGGGGAAUAUUGCACAAUGGGCGCAAGCCGGAUGCAGCAAUGCCGCGUGUAGGAAGAAGGUCUUCGGGUUGUAAAGUACUUUCAGCGGGGAGGCGUUACCCGCAGAAGAAGCACCGGCUAACUCCGUGCCAGCAGCCGCGGUAAUUC